GACGAACCGUGCGAACGUUAUUCGGAAUCACUGGGCUUAAAGCGCGUGUAGGCGGGACGGCACGUCGGUUGCUGAAAUCCCCCGGCUCAACCGGGGAAUGGGCGCCGAUACGACCGUCCUGGAGGGGCGUAGGGGGACCUGGAACUUCCGGUGGAGCGGUGAAAUGCGUUGAGAUCGGAAGGAACGCCCGUGGCGAAAGCGAGGUCCUGGACGCCUGCUGACGCUGAGACGCGAAAGCCAGGGGAGCGAACGGG
rnacentral:rRNA from 1 species